rnacentral:rRNA from 1 species
GCUCUCCUACGGGACGCAGCAGUCGGGAAUAUUGCGCAAUGGAGGAAACUCUGACGCAGUGACGCCGCGUAUAGGAAGAAGGUUUUCGGAUUGUAAACUAUUGUCGUGAGGGAAGAAAUUGACAGUACCUCAGGAGGAAGCUCCGGCUAACUAUGUGCCAGCAGCCGCGGUAAUACAUAGGGAGCAAGCGUUAUCCGGAUUUAUUGGGUGUAAAGGGAGCGUAGACGGCAAUGCAAGUCUGGAGUGAAAGGCGGGGGCCCAACCCCCGGACUGCUCUGGAAACUGUAUAGCUGGAGGGCAGGAGG